rnacentral:rRNA from 1 species
UACGGAGGGCGCAAGCGUUAUCCGGAUUCACUGGGUUUAAAGGGUGCGUAGGUGGGCUGGUAAGUCAGUGGUGAAAUCUCCAGGCUUAACUUGGAAACUGCCGUUGAUACUAUAUAUCUUGAAUGCUGUGGAGGUAAGCGGAAUAUGUCAUGUAGCGGUGAAAUGCUUAGAGAUGACAUAGAACACCUAUUGCGAAGGCAGCUUACUACGCAGAUAUUGACGCUCAUGCACGAAAGCGUGGGGAUCAAACAGG